rnacentral:lncRNA from 1 species
UGCCACUCACCACAUGUAAAGAACUUGCUUGGAAUACAAACAGCUAGAGGCAAACAGGCUGAGAGAUUUAAAGAGUGAUAGAACAACUCUGACAUUCCAGUGGUGUUCCAUGAACCAGUGUGAAACACUUCAUGAAAGCUGAAUGUUAAAUUUUCAGGAACUUUGCACACCUUUUCUUAAUCAACUAUAACUUGAAAUUGGCCAUGGUGAGAGUAUGUUCCAUUUUUAUUACACUCUUACAUUCAUAUAAUGAUGUGUACAAAUCUUAAGUGUUCUUUUAAUAGAUUUUUACGUAUAUAUGCCCUCUUUGCAAAUAACCAUCACGCUGAUCAAGAAAUAGAAUGUUCACAAUGAGAACAUUCUCACAUGCUCCCUCACUAGUCACAGCUCACACACACACAGAGAGACAAGCAAGAUCACUAUUAUGACCUCUUUUUUAUAGAUGAGUUUUGCCUAUUCUUAAGCAUGUUAUAAAUUAACACAUGGUGUAUUCUCUUUUGUGUCUGGCUUUUUUCAUUCUUCUUUGUGUCUGUGAGAGUCAUCCAUGUUGUUGAGUGUAGUAGUAGUUUAUUCUUUUUUUUUCCUGUGGGGUUCCAUUCCAUGAAUACACCACAAUGGAUUUCUCCAUUCUACUCUUGAUGACACUUGGAUUGUUGCUAGUUUUUAAUUAAAGCCAGUAUGAAUAUUUUUGUACAUUCACCUGGGGGUAUAUGCACUUUUUUCUCUUGGAUAUAUACCAAGUAAUCUAACUGCUGGGUUCUAAGGGAUAUGUUUGCUCAGCUUCAGUCAAUACUGCCAAACAGGUUUCCAAAGAAGUUAUACAAUGGACUCUCUCACCAGCAAUCCAUGAGAGUUCUUGUUGCCCAACUUCCUCCCCACCACUUAGUUUUAAGUCUUUGUUUUUAGCCAUCCUAGAGAGUGUGCAGUGGUGUCUUAUUAUAAUUAUAAUUUA